ACGAAGGUCCCAAGCGUUAUUCGGAAUCACUGGGCGUAAAGGGUGCGUAGGCGGUGAGGAAAGUCAGAUGUGAAAGCCCCGGGCUCAACCUGGGAAUUGCAUCCGAUACUCCCUCACUAGAGGAUUGGAGAGGAGUCUGGAAUUCACGGUGUAGCAGUGAAAUGCGUGGAUAUCGUGAGGAACACUUGUGGCGAAAGCGAGACUCUGGACAAUUCCUGACGCUGAUGCACGAAGGCCGGGGGAGCGAACAGGAUUAGAUACCCUGGUAGUCCCGGCAGUAAACGGUGCACGUUUGGUAUGGGGGGGCUGGACCCCCUCCGUGCCGGAGCUAACGCGUUAAACGUGCCGCCUGGGAAGUACGGUCGCAAGAUUA
rnacentral:rRNA from 1 species